rnacentral:rRNA from 1 species
GACGAACGCUGGCGGCGUGCCUAAUACAUGCAAGUUGAGCGCUGAAGGUUGGUACUUGUACCGACUGGAUGAGCAGCGAACGGGUGAGUAACGCGUGGGGAAUCUGCCUUUGAGCGGGGGACAACAUUUGGAAACGAAUGCUAAUACCGCAUAAAAACUUUAAACACAAGUUUUAAGUUUGAAAGAUGCAAUUGCAUCACUCAAAGAUGAUCCCGCGUUGUAUUAGCUAGUUGGUGAGGUAAAGGCUCACCAAGGCGAUGAUACAUAGCCGACCUGAGAGGGUGCUCGGCCACAUUUGGACUGAGACACCGCCCAAACUCCUACGGGAGGCAGCAGUAGGGGAUCUUCGGCCAUAGACGAAAGUCUGACCGAGCAACGCCGCGUGAGUGAAGAAGGUUUUCGGAUCGUAAAACUCUGUUGGUAGAGAAGAACGUUGGUGAGAGUGGAAAGCUCAUCAAGUGACGGUAACUACCCAGAAAGGGACGGCUAACUACGUG